rnacentral:rRNA from 1 species
CCUACGGGAGGCAGCAGUGAGGAAUAUUGGUCAAUGGACGAGAGUCUGAACCAGCCAAGUAGCGUGAAGGAUGACUGCCCUCUGGGUUGUAAACUUCUUUUAGAUGGGAAUAAAAUGUUCCACGUGUGGGAUUUUGUAUGUAUCAUAUGAAUAAGGGUAGGCUAACUCCGCGCCAGCAGUCGCGGUAAUACGGAGGAUCCGCGCGUUAUCCGGAUUUAUUGUGUUUAAAGGGAGCGUAGGUGGAUUGUUAAGUCAGUUGUGAAAGUUUGCGGCUCAACCGUAUAAUUGCAGUUGAAACUGGCAGUCUUGAGUACAGUAGGGGUGGGCGGAAUUCGUGGUGUAGCGGUGAAAUGCUUAGAUAUCACGAAGAACUCCGAUUGCGAAGGCAGCUCACUGGACUGCAACUGACACUGAGGCUCGAAAGUGUGGGUAUCAAACAGGAUUAGAUACCCCUAUAGUC